UCUAGAUCUGAAGAAAAAUCAAAGAGAUUCUCUCAUGAGACUCAAAGAUAAUAAUAAGAUUUUUAUUUGUUGGCCUCAAGAUUUUAAUCGCCUUAUUCGGAACAAAUGAUGAGAGACCAUUUUAUCAUCUCCACUAAAAGGUGGUGAUUCUGGUGGAGUUUCAAAAUGUAGACCCACAUCAAACAUAUCUUGAUUUCAGUACACCACUCAAAGAAGACGAUGAUGACUUGCCGUUAUCUCCACGUACGGAUUAUAAGGAAGGAUAAGUACCAACAAGAUAUAAAGCAGGAACUCAAGUUUUGACCAUGUUACACAUGUUACAAACAAGUUGUAACAUGUUACAAACAAGUUGCAACAUGUGUAACACAAUAUUAAUGUGUUAUACAUAUAUGUAACACAUGUAACAUUCGUAGCAACAUGUUAAUUUGACAAAUAUAUAUUUUAUUUUUUU
rnacentral:lncRNA from 1 species